rnacentral:rRNA from 1 species
UUUUGGACAAUGGGGGCAACCCUGAUCCAGCCAUUCCGCGUGAGUGAAGAAGGCCUUCGGGUUGUAAAGCUCUUUCGCAAGGGAAGAAACCCCCACCGGUGAAUAACCGGUGAUAAUGACGGUACCUUGAUAAGAAGCACCGGCUAACUACGUGCCAGCAGCCGCGGUAAUACGUAGGGUGCGAGCGUUAAUCGGAAUUACUGGGCGUAAAGCGUGCGCAGGCUGUUUUGUAAGUCAGAUGUGAAAUCCCCGAGCUCAACUUGGGAGCUGCGUUUGAAACUACAAGACUAGAAUAGGUCAGAGGGGGGUAGAAUUCCACGUGUAGCAGUGAAAUGCGUAGAGAUGUGGAGGAAUAUCAAUGGCGAAGGCAGCCCCCUGGGAUCAUAUUGACGCUCAUGCACGAAG